AUACGUAGGUGACAAGCGUUAUCCGGAUUUACUGGGCGUAAAGGGCGUGUAGGCGGUCUUGCAAGUCAGAAGUGAAAUUCCUGAGCUCAACUCGGGCGCUGCUUCUGAAACUGCAGGACUUGAGUGCUGGAGGGGAUAGCGGAAUUCCUAGUGGAGCGGUAAAAUGCGCAGAUAUUAGGAAGAACACCGGUGGCGAAGGCGCUUUUCGGGUCAAUAACGGACGCUGAUGCGCGAAAGCGUGGGGAGCAAAAAGGAUUAUAUACCCUGUUAGUCCACGCUGUAAACGAUGAUUACUAAGUGUAGGGGGUAUCGACUCCAUCUGUGCCGCAGUUAACACAAUAAGUAUUCCGCCUGGGGAGUACGGCCGCAAGGUUGAAACUCAAAUGAAUUGACGGGG
rnacentral:rRNA from 1 species